rnacentral:rRNA from 1 species
GAUGAACGCUGGCGGCGUGCCUAAUACAUGCAAGUCGAGCGAAAAGACGAGGAGCUUGCUCUUCUGACGCUAGUGGCGGACGGGUGAGUAACACGUGGAUAACCUACCUAUCAGAGUGGGAUAACAUCGGGAAACCGGAGCUAAUACCGGAUAAUAUUUCGAACCGCAUGGUUCAAUAGUGAAAGACGGCUCAGCUGUCACCUAUAGGUGGAUCCGCGCCGCAUUAGCUAGUUGGUAAGGUAACGGCUUACCAAGGCCACGAUGCGUAGCCGACCUGAGAGGGUGAUCGGCCACACUGGAACUGAGACACGGUCCAGACUCCUACGGGAGGCAGCAGUAGGGAAUCUUCCGCAAUGGGCGAAAGCCUGACGGAGCAACGCCGCGUGAGUGAUGAAGGUCUUCGGAUCGUAAAACUCUGUUAUUAGGGAAGAACAAAUGUGAAAGUAACUGUUCACGUCUUGACGGUACCUAAUCAGAAAGCCACGGCUAACUACGUG